UACAGGGGGUGCAAACGUUGCUCGGAAUUAUUGGGCGUAAAGCGCGCGUAGGCGGCUACUUAAGUCGGAUGUGAAAGCCCUUGGCUCAACUGAGGAAGUGCACCCGAAACUGAGUGGCUUGAGUACUAAAGAGGGUCGCAGAAUUCCCGGUGUAGAGGUGAAAUUCGUAGAUAUCGGGAGGAACACCGGUGGCGAAGGCGGCGACCUGGGUAGAUACUGACGCUGAGGAGCGAAAGCGUGGGGAGCGAACAGG
rnacentral:rRNA from 1 species